rnacentral:lncRNA from 10 species
GGAAUACUGGAUCAAAGACUGAGAGGAACAUUUUUAAGGUUCUUCAUCUGCUUGUCACAUGCACUGAAAUUGCAAAAUACUUCAAACAGAAGAUGGAAAGGACAGAACCAGUGGCCUGGAUAAUCCACAAACUUGAGGAGCAGCCCUGGGAUCAUUGAAAGCUGACUGGAAUGAAACAAACAAAAAAACAAAAAACAAAGAAUGACUCUCUAUACACAAAUAAGCAAUCAGUCUUCCGAACAAUUUUAAAACUGUAUGGUGGUAUGUGGAUCACUCCCUUGUAAGAAGACAUUUCAAAGAUUGAAGCGUGCUUGGAGAGCAACAGAAACGAUUGCAAACACAGGCUUCUGGGACAAGAAUGCUUUAGAUGUCCUCUGCAUCAUUCUACAGAGAGUGAAACUUCCCAUAUGAUGGCUGAGGGUCACCUGUUAGUGAGAGAUGCAGGCUAAGUGUAGAAAAUCCAAGUCCCAUUGAGAAGUUAUUUGAUGGAAUCACUAGAAAAUCCUGCCAUCAGUAGGUGUUGAUGUUAAACUGGGAGAAAUCUUUUUAACUAUUUUACAAAAACUUUAGAAGAAUAAAAUACAAUCUUGACUUGGAGACAAUAAGCCCUGUCACUUACUGAUAAGGUAAUCCAAGGCAGUUCACAUAGCAAUCCUGGGCUUGGUUUCCAAGAUGGACUUUAUAGGGAAGCAAAUCAGGCAAAUAAUCAGAAAUAAUUUUAUUGUGGAGGACUACAAAAAUGAUUAACAUUUUACCUAUAGUAUUUUGAUUGUGUGUAUAUAUAGCCUGUGCUUGGUGAAUGGGAAAGAGUAAAACAACAGUAAAAGCACAGACUGCUAUACUGAGUAGAAAGUCUGAAUGACACAAAUCACUUUUCAUAAACUCAAUGCUUACAUGCAAUGGGGUAGACAUUUUUCUUGGGAAACUAUUGUGUUCCCACUAAAAUCCAAGAAAAUCUACUUAAUAUCUUCACAGCAUCAAAGCAUAGAAGGUUUUCAUUAAGAGGAAGAGGAAAAGAGAGAAAGAAAAAUAGUGGAGGGAGGGCAGUUAUUUUGCAGAGAAUACUUUGAAAAGGAAAGACACCUCUGUGAAGCAGCAAAUUAACUAGAACAAGAGAAAUGAGUCAGUGAGAUCAGGGAUAAAUCUGGUCCAGUUUUCAAAAUAACUUUUGAAAUGUUUUUCCAAUUAGUGUAAAUAUAAAAAUGGAAGCAUCCUUUCAAAUAAGGAUAGGCAUAGCCCUCGGAGUAGCAGAGAGUAUAGCAGAAUAUCAGUAAUGACACAGGCUGAUGAGGGCUCAGAUAGAAUCAGAGCAUAGACAACAGUCACAGUUAGCACAGGGUUCUCCCCACCUCUUUAAUAAGAAGACAUUGCAAGUCAACACUGAAACCUUGCUGAACGCUAUGUGUAAGUUGUUAUAUUAUUGCAUGUAAAUAUCUCUGUGAAAAAAAAUGAAUAACUACAUAUACAUGGAGAAGUUAAUGGUUAGUAAAUUUUAUGUAAUUUCC